rnacentral:lncRNA from 1 species
CUUGCGGGAGUUGGGGCGGGGCGUGCUCUAUAGUGGGGACUCUUGCUUGAGAGAUACCAGCGAGCACACGCGAACCGUUCGGAAGGAGGCGGAGCAAUAUUUUAAAAAAGGAGAGAGGGCGGGCCAAGCUACCCUUCAGAAAGCGCUCCUCCCGGCCAACAACAGGCCAGUACUGAGCAUGCGUCGUGGCUUGAGCGCAUGCUCAGUCAAAUCCCUGGCUGAAAGAACUUCAGCGGAGCUGUGCAAAGGUUGCAACAAAGGGAAGAUUAAUUGUCAGGGGAGCAACAGAGAGGGGAGCACAGUAAGAUUAAAGGGAAGGUAUAAGAUGGGCUUUCAAUUACCCUGGAAAGGAAAAUGUCACCGGUUCAAUUCCCGCCAUCUCCCUGGAAGAAAACUUGGGAAACUGCUUUACUAUCCUUGCCAAGGGAAACUUGUGUCCAUGGAGAGAGCCAAAUCUCAGCUGUGAGAAUCCCGAAACUCCUCAGGGAG